GACGAACGCUGGCGGCGUGCUUAACACAUGCAAGUCGAACGGUGAAAGCGGAGCUUGCUCCGCUGGACCAGUGGCGAACGGGUGAGUAACACGUGGGCAACCUGCCCCUCACUUCGGGAUAACUCCGGGAAACCGGGGCUAAUACCGGAUAUGACCUCCUUGGGCAUCCUUGGAGGUGGAAAGUUUUUCGGUGAGGGAUGGGCCCGCGGCCUAUCAGCUUGUUGGUGAGGUAGUGGCUCACCAAGGCGACGACGGGUAGCCGGCCUGAGAGGGCGACCGGCCACACUGGGACUGAGACACGGCCCAGACUCCUACGGGAGGCAGCAGUGGGGAAUAUUGGACAAUGGGCGCAAGCCUGAUCCAGCCAUGCCGCGUGAGUGAUGAAGGCCUUAGGGUUGUAAAGCUCUUUCGUCCGGGACGAUAAUGACGGUACCGGAAGAAGAAGCCCCGGCUAACUUCGUGCCAGCAGCCGCCGUAA
rnacentral:rRNA from 1 species